rnacentral:rRNA from 1 species
GGUAGGAGAGCGUUCUAUUCAGCGUAGAAGAUGUACCGGUAAGGAGCGUUGGAGCGGAUAGAAGUGAGCAUGCAGGCAUGAGUAGCGAUAAUUGAGGUGAGAAUCCUCAACGCCGAAAACCCAAGGUUUCCUACGCGAUGCUCGUCAUCGUAGGGUUAGUCGGGACCUAAGUCGAGUCCGAAAGGGGUAGACGAUGGCAAAUUGAUUAAUAUUUCAAUACCAACAUAUAAGCGCGAUGUGGGGACGCAUAGAGUUAAUCGAGGUCACUGAUGGAAUAGUGGCUCGAAGGACGUAGGCUGUUAAGUAGGCAAAUCCGCUUAACAUUAGGCCGAGAUCUUACAGGCUCUUGACACUCUUCGGAGGAGAUGGAGAAUCGAUGAUACUGUCGUGCCAAGAAAAGCCACUAAGUUUAUUAUAUGUUGCCCGUACCGUAAACCGACACAGGUGGGUGGGAUGAGUAUUCUAAGGCGCGUGGAAGAACCCUGGUUAAGGAACUCUGCAAACUAGCACCGUAUCUUCGGUAUAAGGUGUGCCUACUUUUGUAUAUGAACUUGCUUCAAAAAGCGAAAGAGGUUGCAACAAAGAGUCCCUCCCGACUGUUUACCAAAAACACAGCACUUUGCUAACACGUAAGUGGAUGUAUAAGGUGUGACGCCUGCCCGGUGCUCGAAGGUUAACUGAUGAUGUCAGCGCAAGCGAAGCAUUUGAUUGAAGCCCGAGUAAACGGCGGCCGUAACUAUAACGGUCCUAAGGUAGCGAAAUUCCUUGUCGGUUAAAUACCGACCUGCAUGAAUGGCGUAACGAGAUGGGAGCUGUCUCAACCAGGGAUCCAGUGAAAUUGUAGUGGAGGUGAAAAUUCCUCCUACCCGCGGAAAGACGGAAAGACCCCGUGCACCUUUACUACAGCUUGACACUGUAGCUUGGAUAUUCAUGUGCAGGAUAGGUGGGAGGCUAUGAUGACUAGACGCCAGUAGAGUCGGAGCCAUCCUUGAGAUACCACCCUUGAAUAUUUGAGUUACUAACUGCGUACAAUUAUCUUGUAUCAGGACAAUGUCUGGUGGGUAGUUUGACUGGGGCGGUCGCCUCCUAAAAAGUAACGGAGGCUUACAAAGGUUAGUUCAAAGCGGAUGGAAAUCGCUUGUUGAGUAUAAUGGCAUAAACUAGCUUGACUGUGAGACAUACAAGUCGAACAGAGACGAAAGUCGGUCAUAGUGAUCCGGUGGUUCUGUGUGGAAGGGCCAUCGCUCAAAGGAUAAAAGGUACGCCGGGGAUAACAGGCUGAUCUCCCCCAAGAGCUCACAUCGACGGGGAGGUUUGGCACCUCGAUGUCGGCUCAUCGCAUCCUGGGGCUGUAGUCGGUCCCAAGGGUAUGGCUGUUCGCCAUUUAAAGCGGUACGCGAGCUGGGUUCAGAACGUCGUGAGACAGUUCGGUCCCUAUCUUCCGUGGGCGUAGGAAAGUUGAAG